rnacentral:lncRNA from 1 species
GGGGGCCCGCCCGCGCCCCUGCACCCGCCGCACCUUCUCCUCCUGGGAAAGUUCUCGAGCCCGACCCUGCGGCCUGCCGCCGGAGGGGGCAGCGGGCCCGUCCGGGCGAGCUGCGUGGAAAAGGAGAAGGAGAAAGGGAAGGGGAGGAAGGGGCGGGGAGGCUGGCGGGGCGAUCCCCUCCGACCCCACUUUCCGCCCCGGCGUGGGCCGCUCUGUCUCUCCCAGCGACACCAUUGUCACCCCCUCCAGGGGCGAGGAGUUUGGGCUCUGGGGUCAGGCUGCUUCGGUGCACAUCUUGCUCCACUCCUUACAAGUGUGCGCUUAGGCAACUUACUUUACCCAUCCCUGCAGAAAAAGAAAAGGCUAGGACCCGUCCAGGGCCAAUCCAGAGUGUGUGGGGCCUGACACGCCAAAGACGCGGGCGAGGGGAGCGGCCUUGCUCGGGGACAGGUGGCCGUCAGACUCGAGGCUCUGCAAGGGGCUGCACAGCGAGGGCCCUGAAGCCGCAGCUUCGUUUGCUCCGUGUUGAACGCCUCUGUACGGCUCUUGACUAAGACAAACAAUAACGCAAUGAGCUCGCCGCGUCUAAGGUGCACUUUGCAUACUUUUCUCAUGGAAGCUCCACAUCUCUUUGCUGUAGGUCACUAUUGGUCAACAAAAUGGGCAAAUCAAAUUUAAAGAGGGAGCAGAAGGCAGAAGGAAAGAAGAGAGGAGAAUAAAAGGACCACAGGCAAGCCGACUUCAGAGGUCAUCUCUUCAUCCAUGCUGGUGAGCACUUGGAAGGAGAGCAUGAACUAAUGACCAUCCGAUCCGUGGCAGGCUGCAGAACAGAACGUGAGGGAGAAAGGAGCCGUAGAUGCUUUCUUAAGUGACCUGCAGAAAAAGGGAGGCUCUUGGGCCUGAAGUUUAAAGAAAUAAGUGAAGGAGGUCAAAA